UAAUGAUGACACAAACAAAAUAAUAUACAUAUCUACUCGAUGAUUCUGUGGUGUAUAUACUGUAAUUGGUUUGUUUUUCAAUAGGAACAAUUUGUACCACCGAGCGUCAUUGGUAUCAUGUUUAGUGCAAGGAGUGUACACAAUGGAACGAGAUAGGCAACAAAACCGGUGUGGUUCUGACUCAAAAGCUAGACCUUGGUGGGCGUUUUACAGGUUCACUUUAUACCAACAACUUAGGGACGCAUUAGAUGGCUCCAUAUACGGGGCCGUUUUCCAGAACGACAUCAAUUACCAGAAUACUCCCAACUCGAUAGUACCUCCACGUUACAUUAUUGCGUUACGUGGAACGAUCUUAAGCCCACAAACUAUGGCUUGUGAUGUUCAGCUUAACAUUCGUAUCGCCUUCGAGAACCUCUACCGCGGGGGUAGAUUUGUGCAGGCCAUUCAAGCAAUGCAAUAUUUUGUGGCCACAUAUGGAAACACAGCUAUCUGGAUCGCUGGACACUCUCUAGGAGCUGGCCUUGCACUACUCGCGGGGAAGAUCAUGGCCAUGUAUGGAUGCCCUGUCGAGGCUUACAUCUUCAAUCCACCUAUCUCCUUGAUUCCUCUAGAGCAGCUAGUGGAGAGUGAGGAUCUUAAAUGUGCGGUCCGACUCGCUAGGGAUAUCCUCAAAGCCGGCAUAGCAAGAGUCCUAGACCUUAAUGAGGUAUCAAAUCUUCAUAAUACUUAUGGUACUUCACAAAUAAUACUAUCUCCCAAAUAAUAUGGGGGGAUUGACACAAAUGGCACUAAAAAACUUUAUUAUUCCAAAAAUGAUACUUUGUUUU
rnacentral:sRNA from 1 species